UCUCGUCAAAAUGGCUGAUUUUCUAUUUGCUGCUCUGAUCAUUGCUCUAUUCUUCUCUCCUCCUGCAUCUAGUGCUAGUGAGGAUGACCCAGUUCCUCUUGUAAUAUGGUCUGGAAUGGGUGACAGCUGUUGCUAUGAGUAUGGUGCUUAUCAGUUUAAAGUUGUCCUGGAACGUCUUAUACCAGGCAUAUAUAU